AACUCAUAUUUUCUUUUUCUCUAUUUCUAUUCUUUCCUUUUUUAUCUCUUCACACAAAAUCCCAAUCUUCUUUCUCUCAAAUCUCAACUCUUAUUUUCUCAAAUCACAACUAUCGACGCUUGAAACCUAUAUUUCUUCUCUUAGAACCCAACUUUCUCGAUUGAUGAGAAUGUCAACCUUAUAAUUUUUGUUGAAUCCACCAUGCACUGCUAUUUUCGCUACUCAUUUUUUAGGGCAAGCCUCAAAUUCAUUACCACUGAUCUUAGAGAUGGUAUGACUUUCCAUUGUUGGACGUCGGAAUUCAAAAGAAAAACGAAAACUAAGAGAGGUACCACUAAUUUUUUAGGGCACGCCUCAAAUUCAUUACCACUGUUUUCGCUACUCAUUUUUUAGGGCACGCCACAAAGAGAGAAGCGGCGGACGAAGCUCAAGAAACUCCUCAGCCUCACCUUCAUCUGGCUUGCUCGAAUUUUCCCACCUGUAUAAUCGACGAUUUAGUACAAGCAAGAAAAAGAAGAGUUGAUUGAAGAAAUACUCAAGAACAGGAACUAAAUCUGAUCUUCCCAAGAUCAAUAAGGUUUGAAACUUUUUUUGUAUGUCUUUGUUUGAAUUGCCAUAAUGUGUUAGUAUAAACUUUCAUAAUUAUCCCAAUUAUGCCUGAUUUUUCCUCACGUUUUUUUCAUUAACCCACAAAUAUGAUCGGUUGAUAUAGUAUAUAUUUGAUAAUUAUAGUGCCAUGCUUUACAAUUUUGAUAUUGGAAAAUAUUAAUGAGAUGAUAUAAUAAUUUGUAUUUUUUACCAUUUUGGUUUAA